rnacentral:rRNA from 1 species
GACGAACGCUGGCGGCGUGCUUAACACAUGCAAGUCGAACGGUGAAGCGCCUUCCUUUUUGGUGGGUGUGGAUGAGUGGCGAACGGGUGAGUAACACGUGAGUAACCUGCCCCCUUCUUCUGGAUAACCGCAUGAAAGUGUGGCUAAUACGGGAUAUUCUGGGUCUGUCGCAUGAUGGGUCUGGGAAAGAUAUUGUUUCGGUGGGGGAUGGGCUCGCGGCCUAUCAGCUUGUUGGUGGGGUGAUGGCCUACCAAGGCGGUGACGGGUAGCCGGCCUGAGAGGGUGGACGGUCACACUGGGACUGAGACACGGCCCAGACUCCUACGGGAGGCAGCAGUGGGGAAUAUUGCACAAUGGGCGCAAGCCUGAUGCAGCGACGCCGCGUGAGGGAUGGAGGCCUUCGGGUUGUGAACCUCUUUCGCCAGUGAAGCAGGCCUGCCUCGUUUGUGGGUGGGUUGACGGUAGCUGCAUAAGAAGCGCCGGCUAACUACGUG